GCGCCGAGCGUAGCGAGACAACGUUGCGCAGCAACGGCCCGAAGGGCGCUUAUCGCAGAUAAGCGUUAUCCUCUCUCGCCGACCA
rnacentral:sRNA from 1 species